rnacentral:rRNA from 1 species
GAUGAACGCUGGCGGCGUGCUUAACACAUGCAAGUCGAACGAUGAUCCGGUGCUUGCAUCGGGGAUUAGUGGCGAACGGGUGAGUAACACGUGAGUAACCUGCCCUUAACUCUGGGAUAAGCCUGGGAAACUGGGUCUAAUACCGGAUAUGACUCCUCAUCGCAUGGUGGGGGGUGGAAAGCUUUUGUGGUUUUGGAUGGACUCGCGGCCUAUCAGCUUGUUGGUGAGGUAAUGGCUCACCAAGGCGACGACGGGUAGCCGGCCUGAGAGGGUGACCGGCCACACUGGGACUGAGACACGGCCCAGACUCCUACGGGAGGCAGCAGUGGGGAAUAUUGCACAAUGGGCGGAAGCCUGAUGCAGCGGCGCCGCGUGAGGGAUGACGGCCUUCGGGUUGUAAACCUCUUUCAGUAGGGAAGAAGCGAGAGUGACGGUACCUGCAGAAGAAGCGCCGGCUAACUACGUGCCAGCAGCCGCAGUAAAAC